UGGGGAAUAUUGCACAAUGGGCGCAAGCCUGAUGCAGCCAUGCCGCGUGUAUGAAGAAGGCCUUCGGGUUGUAAAGUACUUUCAGCGGGGAGGAAGGCGAUAAGGUUAAUAACCUUGUCGAUUGACGUUACCCGCAGAAGAAGCACCGGCUAACUCCGUGCCAGCAGCCGCGGUAAUACGGAGGGUGCAAGCGUUAAUCGGAAUUACUGGGCGUAAAGCGCACGCAGGCGGUCUGUCAAGUCGGAUGUGAAAUCCCCGGGCUCAACCUGGGAACUGCAUUCGAAACUGGCAGGCUAGAGUCUUGUAGAGGGGGGUAGAAUUCCAGGUGUAGCGGUGAAAUGCGUAGAGAUCUGGAGGAGUACCGGUGGCGAAGGCGGCCCCCUGGACAAAGACUGACGCUCAGGUGCGAAAGCGUGGGGAGCAAACA
rnacentral:rRNA from 1 species